rnacentral:rRNA from 1 species
GAUGAACGCUGGCGGCGUGCCUAAUACAUGCAAGUCGAGCGAACAGACGAGGAGCUUGCUCCUCUGACGUUAGCGGCGGACGGGUGAGUAACACGUGGAUAACCUACCUAUAAGACUGGGAUAACUUCGGGAAACCGGAGCUAAUGCCGGAUAAUAUAUUGAACCGCAUGGUUCAAUAGUGAAAGACGGUUUUGCUGUCACUUAUAGAUGGAUCCGCGCCGCAUUAGCUAGUUGGUAAGGUAACGGCUUACCAAGGCAACGAUGCGUAGCCGACCUGAGAGGGUGAACGGCCACACGGGAACUGAGACCCGGGCCCGGAUCCCACGGGAGGCAGCAGUAGGGAAUCUUCCGGAAUGGGCGAAAACCUUGCGGAGCAACGCCGGGUGAGGGAAGAAGGUCCUCCGAUCCGUAAACCCUGUUAUUAGGGAAGAACAAAAUUGUAAGGAAACUUUCACCUCCUGACGGGACCUAAUCAGAAAAGCAAGGCUAAACACCUG